rnacentral:misc_RNA from 1 species
AAGCAAAACUUGUAAUCAGUUGCAGAAAUUCGUUGCUUAAAAGCGGUAGUACCCUAAAGUGGCAAAAAAUAUAUAUAUAUAUUAAAUUUUUAUAAACAAAAAAAUAUUUCUAACACAUUUCAGUGUUUAACAUAUUAUUAAAAUAAAACUAGUUAAUAAAACCUGUUAACGGAAUUUGAAAGAAAAUUGUCGUUAUGAAUCUACAGCAAGUGUUUAGUUUAACCUUACUACCCUGCUUAUAUGUUUUGUUUAUUUUAUUGAGUGAAUUGGUGGAAAAUGGCAUGGCCCAAAAUCCAGAUCCUUUAUUUGAAUUACCGGUACAACUGGUUGGUUUUCCGGUGAUUGUAUUGUCUGUACGUUUAUCGCAGUUUGCCAAAAAGUUGGCCUAUUCUUUGAAUCCAAAUACUUACCGUGCUCGCAGCAAACGAGAAACGGCUUUAUUAGCAUACGAUGCAGAUGUUGCUCAAAAGGAAAUUUUACGUGAAUUUGGUCCUAGAGCUUGCAUCUUAGAGGAACCUUGUCGCAUACAUGCCUCACGUCCCGGACGUGCUUCACAAACUAAUCUGAAUUGGCAAGAAGUUUUCAGUAACUACAAAGUGCAAUCAACCGGUAUGAAACAAUGGUAUUUGCUGUCUUUAUUCAUUGGUGAUGCUGUGCGUGAUGUACCCCUAUGCCAUUUGUUGGCUAAGAGAAUGCCAUGUCCAGGCACUGGUCCCUUACCACCACCCCAGCCACGUUAAGUCGUGUUCUACGUAAUUUUAUUAACAUAAUUUGUUAACAUCUCAACUUCCAAGUCGACGAUAAUAAAUAUGAACAUGACCAUUAUGAUGCCAUCAAAAACAAGCAAAACUCCAUUUCUAUACAAGCUGCAACUCAGGCCCCAUUAAAAAAAGACUCACCUUUAUAUGACUCAAAUUGUAACAAAAAAACAAGCAGCAGAGGAGGAAAAAGCCAUGAACCGCAAAAUCAGCAAAAAUGUACUUGUAGCUAGAGAAAGUUUUGUUUAAAUGUAUACAACUACGAUAUGCAGCGACACAUUUGAGUUUAAUGCUUAAAGAUCAGGGGUUCUCAAUGUAAGGGAUGUCAAAUAACUGGAAAAUGGAAAUAUGGUUUGAACGAACGCUUAAGGAUUCAACACUUUAAAGCCUUUGCACUUACUACGCUAAAAACAUGAACUCAUAAGUUACCAUAUUGUAUAAAAAAGGCAAUAAGCCAUAAGAAAAACUUGUUAAAGAUUCAUUUAAAAAACGUCUAAAAAGGGCGAAAAACUUUUAAUUUUAUA